GACGAACGCUGGCGGCGUGCUUAACACAUGCAAGUCGAGCGGUAAGGCCCUUCGGGGUACACGAGCGGCGAACGGGUGAGUAACACGUGAGCAAUCUGCCCUGCACUUUGGGAUAACCACCGGAAACGGUGGCUAAUACCGGAUAUGACCUGACGUGGCAUCGCGUUUGGUGGAAAGUUCUGGCGGUGCAGGAUGAGCUCGCGGCCUAUCAGCUUGUUGGUGGGGUAAUGGCUCACCAAGGCUUCGACGGGUAGCCGGCCUGAGAGGGUGACCGGCCACACUGGGACUGAGACACGGCCCAGACUCCUACGGGAGGCAGCAGUGGGGAAUAUUGGACAAUGGGCGAAAGCCUGAUCCAGCAACGCCGCGUGAGGGAUGACGGCCUUCGGGUUGUAAACCUCUUUCAGCGCAGACGAAGCGAAAGUGACGGUAUGCGCAGAAGAAGCACCGGCCAACUACGUGCCAGCCGCCGCAGUAACAC
rnacentral:rRNA from 1 species